rnacentral:rRNA from 1 species
UAGGGAAUCUUCGGCAAUGGACGAAAGUCUGACCGAGCAACGCCGCGUGAGUGAAGAAGGUUUUCGGAUCGUAAAACUCUGUUGUUAGAGAAGAACAAGGACGUUAGUAACUGAACGUCCCCUGACGGUAUCUAACCAGAAAGCCACGGCUAACUACGUGCCAGCAGCCGCGGUAAUACGUAGGUGGCAAGCGUUGUCCGGAUUUAUUGGGCGUAAAGCGAGCGCAGGCGGUUUCUUAAGUCUGAUGUGAAAGUCCCCGGCUCAACCGGGGAGGGUCAUUGGAAACGGGGAGACUUGAGUGCAGAAGAGGAGAGUGGAAUUCCGUGUGUAGCGGUGAAAUGCGUAGAUAUAUGGAGGAACACCAGUGGCGAAGGCGGCUCUCUGGUCUGUAACUGACGCUGAGGCUCGAAAGCGUGGGGAGCAAACAGG